GACGAACGCUGGCGGCGUGCUUAACACAUGCAAGUCGAACGGUGAUGCUCCAGCUUGCUGGUGUGGAUCAGUGGCGAACGGGUGAGUAACACGUGAGCAACCUGCCCCAGACUCUGGAAUAAGCGCUGGAAACGGCGUCUAAUACUGGAUACGAUACUGGCCCGCAUGGGCAUGGUUUGGAAAGUUUUUCGGUUUGGGAUGGGCUCGCGGCCUAUCAGCUUGUUGGUGAGGUAAUGGCUCACCAAGGCGACGACGGGUAGCCGGCCUGAGAGGGCGACCGGCCACACUGGGACUGAGACACGGCCCAGACUCCUACGGGAGGCAGCAGUGGGGAAUAUUGCACAAUGGGCGAAAGCCUGAUGCAGCGACGCCGCGUGAGGGAUGACGGCCUUCGGGUUGUAAACCUCUUUCAGCAGGGAAGAAGCGAAAGUGACGGUACCUGCAGAAGAAGCACCGGCUAACUACGUG
rnacentral:rRNA from 1 species